rnacentral:ncRNA from 1 species
UUCACACAUCGCGGGAGCUCCGAGCACGGGGCUGAGAGGGCGCUGAGGUCAGCUGCGCCGACCGCCGAACCUGUUACCGGGUAAUGCCGGCGUAGGGAGUGGGUCUCAUGACCAU